rnacentral:rRNA from 1 species
GACGAACGCUGGCGGCGUGCUUAACACAUGCAAGUCGAACGCUGAAGCUCAGCUUUUGUUGGGUGGAUGAGUGGCGAACGGGUGAGUAACACGUGAGUAACCUGCCUCCUUCUUUGGGAUAACGCCCGGAAACGGGUGCUAAUACUGGAUAUUCACUGGUCUUCGCAUGGGGGUUGGUGGAAAGGGUUUUUCUGGUGGGGGAUGGGCUCGCGGCCUAUCAGCUUGUUGGUGGGGUGAUGGCCUACCAAGGCUUUGACGGGUAGCCGGCCUGAGAGGGUGACCGGUCACAUUGGGACUGAGAUACGGCCCAGACUCGUACGGGAGGCAGCAGUGGGGAAUAUUGCGCAAUGGGCGCAAGCCUGAUGCAGCGACGCCGCGUGAGAGAUGGAGGCCUUAGGGUUGUGAACCUCUUUCGCUCAUGGUCAAGCCGCAACAAUGGUUGUGGUGAGGGUAGUGGGUAAAGAAGCGCCGGCUAACUACGUG